UGCUAAUUUGACCAUAAAAUCUACGUUUUGUUGAACUUGGCUGUUCGCAUCGAAUCCCCUCCAUUGUUUUCAUUACAUGACAAUAUUAUGACAUCAUUACGACGCAUAUACCUAUUAUUACCGUACAAUGAUAAUAAUAUUACCAAAACUUUGGCGAUACCUUUAUCAUUAUUUAUGACAAUAAUAUCAUUGAUUAAAAUAUAUGAUAUUAAUUAAUUAAUGAUAAAUGAUAAUAUCAAUAGAAAACCUCGUGGAAAACCAAUCAGUAUCAGUUGUGAUAAACUGGAACUUAAGUUCAAAGUAAAAAGUAAAUUGUAAUUUGUAAUUAUUUUAAACCAUGUGGCCAACUGCAUAGUGCUUAUUAGUUAUUACUUAAAUAAUUAAAUAUUAAAUGAUUUAAAUGUAUGAUGUAAUUAGUAAUUAAACUAAUUAUUGUAUGUUUUAUACGUUAUACCGUUAAGUAUACUAACAGUUUAAAUUUCUUUAAUAACAUAAUAAUAUACUGAAGUACUUAACGCAAUAGUUUUUGAAUAAUUAAGUUUGUCGAAAAAUUUCCAUUGAUGACAUCGUAAUUUGUGAUCUAUAUUAUUAAGUGUGGCGUAAAUUUGAUAAUACCUACCACUUGGAAAGCACAACAUUUGUACUUACAAUUUAUUGUUUAAUCAGUUUUGUUCAUUCAGUUACACCACCAAAUGUUAUUCAACAUUUGAUAACACAAAAGUUGUUUUAUUCUAAAAAUUAUUAGCUGACACCAUAGCACAAACCUAAUACAACAUAAUAUAUUAUUAACCCUAUUAUUACUUAUUACCAUCUACUCGGACACAACAAGAUGGCUGCGAGGUGCCUAUCUAUUUAUACCUACAAUAUACUUAAAAAUAUAAUGUUCUCUGUUCAGAAGUACUUUUAAUUUGCAUUUAUUCAAAUUUUGCAUUCUGGCAUAGUAAUUAUUAUUAAGAACUAACAUUAUCCGUAUUUACUACAAAAAUACUUAGUCAGAUGGUUUGAAAGAUAAAUAAUGAAAUCAUAUAACUUUCUACCUCCAAAUUUGCAAAUGAGAACGAUGAUAAAUCAAAAUAUUGUUUCCAAUAUAUAAUUUUGAUAGUUGAAGAUACUAUAAAAUUAAUUAAAUAUUCAACUACUCAAGUUAAUUUCAAAGAAGUUAAAAAAUCAAGUCUGACAAUAUGCAUUCCAGAAGAAAACUAAUUCCAAUAAUAUAGUAAA